GAGAUCUUAAAAAAAAAAUCAAUGGAUUUCCUUAAAAAGAUCAAUGGAUCGACGCCCGGCAUCACGAUCUGCGGUGGAUCGGAUCGGCAAGCGGCAUCACGGUUUUGCUCCGGCGGCCGGGGAAGGAGGGAGUCACGAUAGCCUGGAUAAGGAAGGGCACGGCGGCAUGACGCGGCUGCGGCCCCCAUGGAGCCUUGUAGCAGCCCGGGGGGAAGGGGCCGAGGAUGCCCUUGGUGUCGUAGGUGGCGCAGGCCAUAGGAGGCCUGCGGCAGCCCCGGCGGCGUGGUGCACGGAGGAUCACGACAGCGGGUUACAUCGAUGACUGCAAAAGCUUGGUGUCCAGCAAGGUGGCAGUUUGAUCGAUCAUGCUUUUAACCUCUUCCCUAGCACUUAUAUAGGUAAAGAUUUCAACUCCUUGACUAGGAAGAUACUGUCUUAUAUUUUACUGCAAUAUCCUCAUGGAUUGCACCAAGUUGUGGGACUACACAAGAACAAAAUUAUUUUUACCGAGUUCCAAGUUGCUCUGACCAAUCAUCAUUGGCACCUGGUCUGGUUCAUUAUAUAUUUCAAUUUUCUAUAGUCAAGUUAACCAGAUUUUGAAACAGGGACAUCUGUAUUCCUAGCCUGAAUCUUGUGAAUCAUGGACUUUACCCAUGGAUUCAUUCUGAAAAUCUGAACCAUGUGGUUAUGAGGGGCAGUUAAAGAGGAAAUUAAAGAUACAAUCUUCAGGGACUUCCAUUCUGUAGUAUGACUUCAUGAAAAUAAAAGGUCACAUAUUUGAGCAGUUGGGUAGCUUUCCUUAUAUAUUUCAAGGAAAUUUGAUUCUGGGAAACCAAAUGAUCUUUUUUCAAGAAAUGAAGGUUAGCUUCAGGGUGUUUGUGUGCGAUCUACACAGCCUUCACCUCUGCAGGGUCCUCCUUAGACAACUGAAAGUGGAAAUUUCAGACAGCCUAGGUGAUUUUGGACUAUCGUACAGAUGCAACUCUUAAUGCAAUAUGUGUUGCUCUGCAUGUUUACUGUACAGGCACAAGGGCAUGUCGCCCCUGCUAUGUUGUUGUUCUUUGCAUCUCCCUUUGUUAAUGCCAAAGAGUUUAGCGAGAAAUGUAUAGACAUCGAACUACUAUAUGUAAGUGUGUUGUGACCGAACUACUCUUCUUGCACGAAGUUUUUCAAUGCUCUGCGAAUGAUUGCUGAAAGAAAGUGCUUGUCCUGAAGUAUGAAAUUCUACAUUUUUUUCUGUGCUGUGUGCAUGGAAGGUGCUUUGUGCUUUCUACCAGGUUGUGAAGUGCUAUAUUGAAUCUGUAAGCUAGAGAGAUGGAAACAAUGCCUGAUUUCUGAAUUUGAGCUACUGCCCAGUUCUUUUACCUUAUCCAGUUAAUUUACUAGCUG